CCUGCUCCUAGAAGCCUGGCAGGUGUGGCUGCUGGGUCACAUGUGUCAGUAGGUGGCAGAGGAGAGAGACUCAGUGUUCUGACCUAUGAACAUCUGAAUGAUUAAGAGCCUAACACC
rnacentral:snoRNA from 1 species